AGUGAACGCUGGCGGCAGGCCUAAUACAUGCAAGUCGAACGGCAGCACGGCAGAGCUUGCUCUGUGGGUGGCGAGUGGCGGACGGGUGAGGAAUACAUGGGAAUCUGCCCAGCCGUGGGGGAUAACGUAGGGAAACUUACGCUAAUACCGCAUGCGCCCUUCGGGGGAAAGCCGGGGACCUUCGGGCCUGGCGCGAUUGGAUGAGCCCAUGUCGGAUUAGCUAGUUGGCGGGGUAAUGGCCCACCAAGGCGACGAUCCGUAGCUGGUCUGAGAGGAUGAUCAGCCACACUGGAACUGAGACACGGUCCAGACUCCUACGGGAGGCAGCAGUAGGGAAUAUUGGACAAUGGGCGCAAGCCUGAUCCAGCCAUGCCGCGUGAGUGAAGAAGGCCCUCGGGUUGUAAAGCUCUUUUGUCCGGAAAGAAAAGCGCCGGGUUAAUACCCUGGUGUCCUGACGGUACCGGAAGAAUAAGCACCGGCUAACUUCGUGCCAGCAGCCG
rnacentral:rRNA from 1 species